rnacentral:rRNA from 1 species
AUACGGAGGGUGCAAGCGUUACUCGGAAUCACUGGGCGUAAAGCGCGCGCAGGCGGGCUGAUAAGUUGGAUGUGAAAGCCUACGGCUCAACCGUAGAACUGCAUCCAAAACUGUCAGUCUAGAGUCUGGGAGGGGAAGAUGGAAUUAGUUGUGUAGGGGUAAAAUCCGUAGAGAUAACUAGGAAUACCAAAAGCGAAGGCGAACUUCUGGAACAGUACUGACGCUGAGGCGCGAAAGCGUGGGGAGCAAACAGGAAUAGAUACCCCUGUAGUCC